rnacentral:pre_miRNA from 1 species
ACCAAGAAUUUUGCCGUGUUGCCCACUUUCAUCUUGGAGUACUGCAUCUUCACAACCGUCGCUUUUUCAAAUCUGAAUUCCAGUCACUGAAGCUCGGGCUAGAUUUAAGGGCUCUGGGGACGCAGGAAGGUGAGUUCAGUGGUACAAAUAAAAGAAUUAGUGAUAAUUUUCUGGAGCUUAGUAGUCGGAUGGCAGAGGGAAAACAAAAUUAGUAUACUUGACUUGCGUUUUAAGUGUAGAUCCAAAUAGAUUUUCAAAAGAAUAGGUCCUGUUGUCCCUCGAAUUGAAGCUCGUUUUGGAAUCUUACGGAGACGAAGAUGCAUUCCUCCAAGAAGUGAGUGGGUAACAGGCUACAUCAAACGG